GAUGUCGUGGCCGAGUGGUUAAGGCGUUACGUUUAGGCCGUAAUGAGCAAUCUCGCAGGUUCGAAUCCUGCCGACAUCA
rnacentral:tRNA from 1 species